UUGCGCGGGCAGACCCGCCGAUCCCCGAGGGGCACCGUGAGUCUGGAAGCGGAUCAGACGGCGCGGGACUUGGGAGCGCCCCCCCCAGCUACCUGGAUGCCGCAGACCGGUCAGAGGGCCCAUGCUGACCACCGUCCGCCCAAAGUGCCUACAAUGGACAUGUGAGGAUAAGAACUGCAACAUGGAGUGAUGGAAGAAGGUGGCCUGGUCUGAUUCAUCAUGUGGACGGCUGCAUGCGGGACAGGUUUGUGCAUAGGAGGAAGAUUUCAUCCCUCCUCCAGCCAAUCAGGGAGGCGAAGCAGGUCAGGCCAAGUUCCAGAACGGUAUGCUGGCCCCUCCCCCUCCAGACUACAUACCCUACUUACUCAUGGAAGAAGUGGAGAAGAUGAUGACAUCAGUGCUUCGUAGAGUGCUCAACUGCAUGUUGUGCUGCAUCAGGACAUCUAACGGUCUGAAUAUUUAUUCUUUAUUUUAUCAGUGAUGGAUAUGUAAAUGGGGCGGCAUGGUGGUGCAGUGGU